UACGUAGGGUCCGAGCGUUGUCCGGAAUUAUUGGGCGUAAAGGGCUCGUAGGCGGUCCGUCGCGUCGGGAGUGAAAACUCAGGGCUCAACCCUGAGCGUGCUUCCGAUACGGGCGGACUAGAGGUAUGCAGGGGAGAACGGAAUUCCUGGUGUAGCGGUGAAAUGCGCAGAUAUCAGGAGGAACACCGGUGGCGAAGGCGGUUCUCUGGGCAUUACCUGACGCUGAGGAGCGAAAGCGUGGGGAGCGAACAGG
rnacentral:rRNA from 1 species